AAAAGGACUUCGGUUUGCUUCGGGAUGGACUCGCGUCCAAUUAGCUAGUUGGUGAGGUAACGGCCCACCAAGGCGACGAUCGGUAGCCGGACUGAGAGGUUGAACGGCCACAUUGGGACUGAGACACGGCCCAGACUCCUACGGGAGGCAGCAGUGGGGAAUAUUGGACAAUGGGCGAAAGCCUGAUCCAGCCAUGCCGCGUGGAUGAAGAAGGCCCUAGGGUUGUAAAGCACUUUCAGCGAGGAGGAAAGGGUGUCGGUUAAUACCCGGCAUCUGUGACGUUACUCGCAGAAGAAGCACCGGCUAACUCCGUGCCAGCAGCCGCGGUAAUACGGAGGGGGCUAGCGUUGUUCGGAAUUACUGGGCGUAAAGCGCACGUAGGCGGACUGAUUAGUCAGGGGUGAAAUCCCGGGGCUCAACCCCGGAACUGCCUUUGAUACUGUCAGUCUUGAGUCCGAGAGAGGUGAGUGGAACUCCGAGUGUAGAGGUGAAAUUCGUAGAUAUUCGGAGGAACACCAGUGGCGAAGGCGGCUCUCUGGUCUGUUACUGACGC
rnacentral:rRNA from 1 species